UUUUUUCUUUUAUGUUCCAAGAAGUAGCCU
rnacentral:piRNA from 1 species